AAAAAAACAAAAACAAUCUCAUUUGAUGUUGCCCAAUGCUCCUUCCUUUCAAUCUGCUUCAACACUCCAACCACAGUCCAGUUCUACAAGCCAGCAGAUUCAAGAUAUCUCUCAGCUAUUUGAUGGCUUGGAGAGGAGAAUACUGCUGAAACUUGACCAAAUCCAUGCCGAUAUUAAAACAGCUAUUGG